rnacentral:rRNA from 1 species
CGUGNACGUUUGGGUUUCGUCAGGGUUGUUGCUGGUUUCUUUUGGGCAUGUGCACGCCUUGACGCCCCCAAGUGUUUCGAGUCCUUUCUUCACACCCCUUGUGCACCAUCUGUAGCUGGGGAUGAUCACGGAGCCCUUUGGGUUUCGAAUGCCCCAGCUAUGAAGUUUUUGCUACACACCCUUUUGUAAAAGUUUAUCAGAACGUUUGUAACCGCGUCUUCGACGGCGCGAAUCAAAUACAACUUUCAGCAACGGAUCUCUUGGCUCUCGCAUCGAUGAAGAACGCAGCGAAAUGCGAUAAGUAAUGUGAAUUGCAGAAUUCAGUGAAUCAUCGAAUCUUUGAACGCACCUUGCGCUCCUUGGUAUUCCGAGGAGCAUGCCUGUUUGAGUGUCAUGAAAUUCUCAACUGCUCGCUUAUGCUCAUCUUAAGAGGGUGAAGUUGGAUUUUGGAGCUCUUUUGCCAGCUUUUGUUUCUGGCUGCUCCUAAAAGCAUUUCGAGCCCCUUUAGGGUUGGAAGUAUCUUUGACGUGAUAGCCAUCUGCGUCGUANAGAAAAGCCUAGGAAAAAAGAGGCUCGUUUAAAGAAGUUCGUUUGACCCUUUUGACCUCANAUCAGGCAGGACUACCCGCUGAACUUAAGCAU